rnacentral:rRNA from 1 species
CGCACCCUUGAUCUUAGGUUGCCAUCAUUAAGUUGGGCACUCUAAGGUGACUGCCGGUGACAAACCGGAGGAAGGUGGGGAUGACGUCAAAUCAUCAUGCCCCUUAUGACCUGGGCUACACACGUGCUACAAUGGACGGUACAAAGAGCUGCAAGACCGCGAGGUGGAGCUAAUCUCAUAAAACCGUUCUCAGUUCGGAUUGUAGGCUGCAACUCGCCUACAUGAAGCUGGAAUCGCUAGUAAUCGCGGAUCAGCAUGCCGCGGUGAAUACGUUCCCGGGCCUU